rnacentral:lncRNA from 1 species
CAGGAUGGGACUCGCAUCUGCUCUGGUUGAUGAGGCGCUGUGAGGAUGGCAGGGAAUGUUCUUCCCUCAGGAGGUGAGGAGAAGGUCUCUCACUCCCACAGCUUCUUCUGGUACUUUCUGGUAGAUUAGCCCAAGACCCCUGCUUUCGGCAGCCCGCAGUGGAGCAGGGAUGCAGAGCUGCGGUCAGGCCACCGGUGUCCUCGUCCAUCAAUCGCUAACCAGGGCAGGAUGGGUGAGGAGCAGGACUCUUGCAGGCAGAGAUGAGUUGGGGUCCUCAGGCUGCCCAAGAUCAGGCAACAAGCAAGAAGGAACUGUCAAAAGGGAGAAGAUUCUUCCUUAACACUGAACAUGACUUACAUACCAGCAGCCACCAGGCCAGCUGCCAUUGGGAACGCUAUGACCCUCACAGCCAGCCAAUGAAGUGAAUGGGGUUAUUCCCAAUUCCCAGGCGAGGAAACUGAGGGCCUCGGGGGAUGUGAAGCUGGGAAGAGCAGUGGAGCCCUGGAGCUAUGUCUGGACUUUCCUGCCUCCAAAGCUUCCUCCAACAAAGGAGGAAAGGGGAGCAUCCUGGGCAAGCUCCACAUUCCCAGAACAAAACAACCAAAGAUGCAGCCCACAGGGAUGGGUGAACCAGAGCAUGGCAUCCUGGACACAGGGCUGGACUGAGGAUCAACCACAGGGAUGAAGCCCGGCUCCAGCUUGUCCCCACUGUAUUUGCCAGGAGAAAUCCCUUCUCGACCUGGCCUCCAUUCCCUGUCUGUAAACAGGAUAGCAUCACGCUGGGCGAUGUCUGAGGUUCCUUCCAGCCCCAGUGUUUUAUUUAUCUAGUUUCUGGUGGUAAAAGCCCUGGGCAGGGACUGUAAGCUGUGCCUUCCUGUUUUGUAGGUGAGAAUGUGUUCUCUAAACACCUUUAGCAAGAUGACAUAGGGACCGCGGCCUUCGGGCAGAACUGUGUGUGCUUGGAGGUGGCAAGUGGAGGCACAGAUGUGUUUUCUUCUGGGUGAAGGAGUCUCCACACUCCCUCCAUGAUAGUGCCUGGGGCAUGGGCCUCCCUGGCAGAAUAGCUGGCCCCAGCUGGGGACUCUAGGUCUGCUUUAAAAUGCUCUAGGGCUUCUGGAUGUGCUCAAGGAAUGGGCUUAAAUUCAGAGCAGGGAAGAAAAACAAGCCCAUGGACCAAACAAGUCCUGCACCAUUAGAUCAAGGAGACAUUGCUGUGCUGGAAAACAGGAGUCAUUUGUGAGAUAAAUGUACUGCUGGGAGACUUGACCUUGUUCCACCCGCAAUACCGUGUGUGGUUAUUCAUGGGACUUCUUGGGUAAAUCAGCUGAGCUCAGAGCUGCAAAGAGGCUUAUAGGCCUUCCCAUUGAGCAUGAGAAUGAAUGAGUAAGUGGCUGUAGCCAUAAGCUGUCACUGGUACCAACUGAGAUAUGGUGGAUGCUGGGCCCCUGAGGAGUCACAGUCAGUGGGGAGACAAGGAAUGAGGCUGUUGUGCACUGGGCCAGGUGCAAGAGAAUCGCCACCUCUCACUCUACCAAGCCAGGAGUGGGAUGAAUGGGAAGAACACCAGAGGAGAGGGUGCCUCGUGCUGAUUCCCAGGGCAGGUGGAGACAAGGAGAAACAGCCUGUGCCGAGCCCAACACACACAAGCUUGCCUGCCGAGCCCAAUGCAUGCCAGUGUGCAUCCGGGAAUUCUAUCUGCUUUCUGGCCCUCUCCAGGGUUCCUCCGCAUCCUAUGCAUGAUACAUUGACUUGCCUCCUGGCAUCUGUCUCCUUUAAUGACCAUGCCCUUCUCUAGGAGAGAAAGACAGUCUUUCUCAUCUGUUUCUCGGCACCCAGCACGCAGCCAGGUAGAGCGGAUGACCAGUAAGGUGUGGCUGAAUGGACUUGGUGACUACUCGUGUUACUCAGAGAUUAAGGCACAAGCCCACUAAGAAACCUACGCAGGACAGCCUGACGUGGCUCCCCACCAGGGGCUCCCUAUGAGACGCCGCACUGGAUACAGGCUGGUGGACCCCCGCACGUGUGUUCUGUUCUCAAAUGUCUCCUUCACCACGAAUCACCUGCAUCCUCCCACCAGCUCUUUCUCUGCCCCCUUCUGAGGCUCCUUCAGCAGUUGGCUGCUCCGAAUAUUAAAAAUCCAGGCAGGAAUUUGCCCACAAAUCAGAUUUGGGAUUUCCUGAUAGCAGGAGCUGAGCUGGUCAUCUCCGGAUCCCCCAGACCUAGCAUGGAUACUGAAUGGAAUACUUUUAGAAGAUAAACAUCUGGAAUAAUGCUUGACGAAAUACCUGAGUACAGACUGUGACCCAGUCAAGCUGACACAUGAAAUUAACCAUCACACUGUCGGACUCUGGCUGUGUGACUUUAUCUCAUUUCUUCAUCUAUAAAAUGGAGGCCACACUUUUACCUCUCACAUGGGGCUGAGAGAGGAUUAAAUGGUCAAUAUUUCCAAAGGCCCGAGGCUACUGCUGGUGUAAGGUAAGUACUGGAGAUUUGCUAUUAUUAUUUAUGUAACUUCCAGCCCCACAAACACAGUCCCCAACCACCAAACACCCCACACACUAGCCUAUAAGGGCCCCAGGGUCAGCGGCCUCAUGGAAGGAAGAGAACGCUGGCGGAAUGAGGGAAUGAAUGAUGCCCUUGAUUGCCUUUCCACUUACAACACGGUAGGUGAUACGGCGUCCACAGCUGCAGCACGGUCACCAUAAACAAGCAUUUCCCCAGCUGGGCCAUGGCCCGUGGAAACCCUGCUUCUCCCUCCAGGUUCCUGUGGACUCCAGCUUCUGGGAAGGUAAGGCUUCCUCCCUUGGGAAGCAUUUUGAGUGUUUUGGCCUGUGUCCUUUCAGGAAGCCCCGUAGCCAACACACACCCCAGGGCAGGAAGUGGGUGAGAACAACUUAGACCUUGGACAGAAAGCAAUUCGGAAACUGGCUCAGCCUCUUCUCGUUGCUGGCACGGCAAGCAGUGUUAAGUGUGAGCAAUUUUUUGUUUUGUUUUGAAUUUGAAUGGUUCCUUUUUCUCCUUCACGAGGAGGCCAUGGUUUCUGAGAGUGGGGCUUGCAUGUGGCAAAGAAUAAGGAUGGCAAGAAGGGCGGAAGCACCCCUGAGCACUGCAGCUGCUACUUCCAGUGCACUCUCUGUUUACAACCGCCCUGGGAGAUGAGAAGAAAACCUCCAGAUUAUACUUGAAACGCUGAGGCUGGAAGAGGUAGACAAGAUGUGGCGAAGUCACACAGCUGCCAACUGAUGGGCUGGCCUGCUGGAUCCCAGAGCCAACAUUCUUUGUGGUAGGGGAGGUGUCUAAACCAUCUUUUUUUGCUGGGGACAUGCAAAUACAUGGAAACUCACAACGGCUGUGUACUUCUCACAAACUUUCAAAAGGUGUUUUGUGAAUUGAGCUAAAUUCACUGCUGUGCAGGAGAUGUGAGGCCCUAAACAUGGUAUAAAAUUCUGUAACGGACACUUUACAAAAGAAGAAGGAAAGGGAAAAAAGCAGAUUGAGAAAUGCCACAUACGUUUCCAGGCGGGGACAUAGAUUUCAUGCCGUUACACAGCUUUCCUAACUCCAUUUCACCUAGCUGGAGCUUUGGACUCUUACGUAAAGUUCCUUAUUCAUUUGUUCAGCAGAGAUUUAUUAAGCAGCCACUGCGUCUCUUGCAACUACAGAAUCAGUCUUUUGAAAAAUGAACCAGAAAAUGUAUGGAAACUAAUCCUGCCUUUCUCACCAAACACACUGUAGGGAUAACCUCUCUCAUACGUGGGCGUCAAAUGUUUACAAAACUUGUGCCUUCCAUCUGUCACUUUCCUGCUGGCCGCUGGGCCUCCGGACACACAGUUCCCCUGCCUGCAGCACUCCAAAAAUAUUCUAUGCGCUCCCCUCCCUACAAAUAUUUGAUGAAGGAAUAGCAGAAAGAACACAUUCUUUCCAUGGUUUAUAUAAGCACCACACUCCUGCCAGGGCUAUCUGUCUCAGCUUUUUCCUUUUCACGAUGAAUCGUACCACAGUUUGUGCCUGAUGCUCUGCAGAAAUUGAUCUUAACACUUAAAAACAACUUUGCCUGUUGGGUACAUGUCAGAUGUUUUACAGAGUAAUCUUCACAUUUUCCUGCUUGAGCGAUAUAUUCAGACAUCCCCACACUCAUUCAGCUGAUGGGAAUGUUGGUCUCAGCCCUUGAACAAAUCAAUCAGGUAGGCUGGAGGGGCAUCCUGGAUUCUUCUCCAGGCUCCAUCGUCAGACACUGGUUC